UACGAAGGGGGCUAGCGUUGCUCGGAAUCACUGGGCGUAAAGGGUGCGUAGGCGGGUUCUUACGUUAGAGGUGAAAGCCUGGAGCUCAACUCCAGAACUGCCUUUAAUACUGGGAAUCUUGAGUUCGGAAGAGGUGAGUGGAACUGCGAGUGUAGAGGUGAAAUUCGUAGAUAUUCGCAAGAACACCAGUGGCGAAGGCGGCUCACUGGUCCGAUACUGACGCUGAGGCACGAAAGCGUGGGGAGCAAACAGG
rnacentral:rRNA from 1 species